CUACGGGCGGCUGCAGUGAGGAAUAUUGCACAAUGGGGGGAACCCUGAUGCAGCAACGCCGCGUGGAGGAUGACGCAUUUCGGUGUGUAAACUCCUUUUAUAUGUCAAGAAAAUGACGGUAGCAUAUGAAUAAGCACCGGCUAACUCCGUGCCAGCAGCCGCGGUAAUACGGAGGGUGCAAGCGUUACUCGGAAUCACUGGGCGUAAAGGACGCGUAGGCGGGUUGGAAAGUCAGGUGUGAAAUCCUACAGCUUAACUGUAGAACUGCACUUGAAACUUCUAAUCUAGAGUAUGGGAGGGGGAGAUGGAGUUAGUGGUGUAGGGGUAAAGUCCGUAGAUAUCACUAGGAAUACCUAAAGCGAAGGCGAUCUCCUGGAACAUUACUGACGCUAAGGCGUGAAAGCGUGGGGAGCAAACAGGAUUAGAUACCCUAGUAGUC
rnacentral:rRNA from 1 species